CCUACGGGCGGCUGCAGUGAGGAAUAUUGGUCAAUGGGCUUACGCCUGAACCAGCCAAGUCGCGUGAGGGAAGACUGCCCUAUGGGUUGUAAACCUCUUUUGUCAGGGAGCAAAGUCACCCACGUGUGGGUGUUGGAGAGUACCUGAAGAAAAAGCAUCGGCUAACUCCGUGCCAGCAGCCGCGGUAAUACGGAGGAUGCGAGCGUUAUCCGGAUUUAUUGGGUUUAAGGGGUGCGUAGGCGGGUUAUCAAGUCAGCGGUAAAAUCGUGGAGCUCAACUCCAUCCAGCCGUUGAAACUGAUGAUCUUGAGUGGGCGAGAAGUAUGCGGAAGGCGUGGUGUAGCGGUGAAAUGCAUAGAUAUCACGCAGAACUCCGAUUGCGAAGGCAGCAUACCGGCGCCCGACUGACGCUGAAGCACGAAAGCGUGGGUAUCGAACAGGAUUAGAUACCCGGGUAGUC
rnacentral:rRNA from 1 species